AGCUCCAAUAGCGUAUAUUAAAGUUGUUGCAGUUAAAAAGCUCGUAGUUGGAUUUCUGGCAGGCAGGUUCGCAGUCUCGUUGAGAUUCGCAGCCUCCUUCCAUCCUUCUGUUAACCCUUGAGGUUUUAACGAUCUCUUGUGGGGCUCAGAUAUUUUACCUUGAGAAAAUUAGAGUGUUUCAGGCAGGCUAGCGCCGGAAUACAUUAGCAUGGAAUAAUAGAAUAGGACUUUUGCCUCUUCUGUUGGUCUGGGGGGUUCAAGUAAUGAUUAAUAGGGAUAGUUGGGGCAUUAGUACUUAACUGUCAGAGGUGAAAUUCUCGGAUUUGUUAAAGACUAACUUAUGCGAAAGCAUUUGCCAAGGAUGUUUUCA
rnacentral:rRNA from 1 species